CACAUUUGGAGAGGUCAGGGGUCAGAGCUAGUGUCCAAAUAAACAGCAGUGAAUCCUGGUUGGUGGUGGAGCUGACGUUAAGACAACAGCCGAAAUGCAAACAAAACCGCUCCAACCCUCCCUCCCCUCUCAAGUAAACACAUUCCUCUGCUUUCAGUCAAACGCUGAAUUUAGUACGUAACCAUGUAAAUAAGGCCACCGCUUGCUUUUUGGUUGCUUUGUCACAAUCUCUGUAAAUCAUGAAGAUUUGAGACACCACGCAGCGUCGAAGGCAAACGAGGAAGGGCAAGACUUGAGGUCUUUGGGUGAAGAAGGUUAAACUGAAACCCGAGAGACAAUAUUUACCAUCCUGUGGAGUCUGCAACGCUUUGGGGACAGUAAACCUAGGGUCCACUUACUGUCACAGCGUUUUUCAUGCAGCGCCAAAGCCGUGAUCCAGACUGCGCCGAUCUGCAGGAUACUGCCUCAUGCUCCAUGGCUCAGCUCCAGGAGGCCUCCAAAGUCAGGGGAGAAGGUCCUGACUUUGUGCAAAGCAGAGUGAUCCUGUGCAGCAUCUCCAAUGUCAUAGGGGGUGACUGAGGUCUCUGAGGUAGCAGUCUAAGCAGAGAUACCCAGACUUCCCGAUCCACACACACCUUCUCCUGCUGCUCUGGAUGGACUCCAAUGCGCCACCUGGCCAGCUCAAACCAUAGUUCCUACAGCGUGUCCUGGGUGCUGAUCCUCAUCGCGACCCUUUCACAGUCGCCUGCACACUGCCCCAGUACAUGCUGAAGGUCCUAGUUUGAUGAGGCCAACAGGACAACAGCAUCUGCAAAUAGCAGAGAUCAUAUCCUGAGA